rnacentral:rRNA from 1 species
UACGAAGGGGGCUAGCGUUGUUCGGAAUUACUGGGCGUAAAGCGCACGUAGGCGGAUUGUUAAGUCAGGGGUGAAAUCCCGGGGCUCAACCUCGGAACUGCCUUUGAUACUGGCAAUCUCGAGUCCGGAAGAGGUGAGUGGAAUUCCUAGUGUAGAGGUGAAAUUCGUAGAUAUUAGGAAGAACACCAGUGGCGAAGGCGGCUCACUGGUCCGGUACUGACGCUGAGGUGCGAAAGCGUGGGGAGCAAACAGG